rnacentral:sRNA from 1 species
GUAGAUGCUCAUUCCAUAUUUUAUGUUUGCGAAAGCUUCAUAAAGCCCGGAAUGAUGCAGAGCCCUUACGAUACCUGUUGUCCAGCCGCCACUAUCGUCGCAAGACCUUAAUGGUACAAGGACACUACGUUGAGUCAGGUAUCACCCAACUUGUCUUACCGACCUGAACGUUUACACCUGCCGGACUGGCGGGUGUUUUUUU